UACGUAGGGUGCAAGCGUUGUCCGGAAUUAUUGGGCGUAAAGAGCUCGUAGGCGGUCUGUCACGUCGGAUGUGAAAACUCGGGGCUCAACCCCGAGCCUGCAUACGAUACGGGCAGACUUGAGUUCGGCAGGGGAGACUGGAAUUCCUGGUGUAGCGGUGAAAUGCGCAGAUAUCAGGAAGAACACCCGUGGCUAAGGCGGUUCUCUAGUACGGUACUGACGCUGAGACGCGAAAGCGUGGGGAGCGAACAGG
rnacentral:rRNA from 1 species